UACGGAGGGUGCAAGCGUUAAUCGGAAUUACUGGGCGUAAAGCGUGCGCAGGCGGUUUGUUAAGUCCGUUGUGAAAUCCCCGAGCUCAACUUGGGAAUUGCAAUGGAUACUGGCAAGCUGGAGUAUGGUAGAGGAAGGUGGAAUUCCCGGUGUAGCAGUGAAAUGCGUAGAGAUCGGGAGGAACACCAAUGGCGAAAGCAGCUUUCUGGGACGGUACUGACGCUGAGACGCGAAAGCGUGGGGAGCGAACAGG
rnacentral:rRNA from 1 species